rnacentral:tRNA from 1 species
GCCGGAGUAGCUCAGCUGGCCAGAGCAACCGCCUUGUAAGCGGUAGGUCGUCGGUUCGAAUCCGUCCUCCGGCU